GGUGGGAUGGCUCAGCGGUUAAGAGCACUGACUGAUAUUCCAGAGUUCCUGAGUUCAAUUCCCAGCCACUG
rnacentral:tRNA from 1 species